rnacentral:rRNA from 1 species
AUAAUGGGUCAGCGACUUAUAUUCUGUAGCAAGGUUAACCGAAUAGGGGAGCCGAAGGGAAACCGAGUCUUAACUGGGCGUUAAGUUGCAGGGUAUAGACCCGAAACCCGGUGAUCUAGCCAUGGGCAGGUUGAAGGUUGGGUAACACUAACUGGAGGACCGAACCGACUAAUGUUGAAAAAUUAGCGGAUGACUUGUGGCUGGGGGUGAAAGGCCAAUCAAACCGGGAGAUAGCUGGUUCUCCCCGAAAGCUAUUUAGGUAGCGCCUCGUGAAUUCAUCUCCGGGGGUAGAGCACUGUUUCGGCAAGGGGGUCAUCCCGACUUACCAACCCGAUGCAAACUGCGAAUACCGGAGAAUGUUAUCACGGGA